GUGGAAUAACUCCCAGAUGGGCAUUCGUGUCAGUCAAUCAUGAUCCACUCUAUCCCUACAACUGCUCCCAAUGUGGAAAGAGUUACAACCGUCGAAACAACUUGACUCGUCACCUGAAAUACGAAUGUGGAGUUGCGAAGGCAUUUCAGUGCCCUCAUUGCCAACAGACGUUCAGACAACGAUAUCUGGUCUGGAUUCACAUUAAAAAAAUCCACGAACGCUCUAGACUCUUCUGCAUCGACACCAGAACCGGGGAAAAGUCGUUCUACGAGGCGCGUCAUGACGGGGGAACCUGAGGAGGACCUGGGGGACAUCAGGAUUCGAUGGCGGGUGGGAAGUCCCGCAGGUGCAGUCGGCGUCGUCCUGGCCGCAUUAUUGCUCGAAGUGCGGAAAGAGUUAUAAACAUCGGACACAUUUGAUUCGGCAUUUUAAUCACGAGUGCGGAGUGGGAAAAGCUUUCCAGUGCCCUUAUUGCAGUAAUAUGUUUAGACAACGUGCGCAUAUAUGGAGACACAUCAGAAAGCUUCAUCCUCGGUUUAAGCUCUUCUGCAUCGACACGAGAACGCAGAAGAAAUUGUUUUAUUCGAUGAGUUAUAAGAGAUGAGGAAAUUAAAAUUUGGAAAAUUACUGAGCUUUUAUUUCUCGAGCUUUUAUUUCUGGGGAAUGGAAUUUCCCGGGAAUAAAAUCAUUAAACUAAUAAAGGGAAUACCCGAGUGGGAGUUUAUCGCUGUGAACUACGAUAUAUCGAAUCGCCAUCACUGCCCGACGUGCCAGAGGAGCUACAAACGUCGAACUCAUCUUCUUCGUCAUCUGAAGAACGAGUGCGGAAUAGCGAAAGCUUUUCAAUGCCCCUAUUGCAUGCAGAGCUUUCGACAACGGACCCACAUCUGGACCCACAUCAGGCAGAAUCACACUGACUCCGUCCUUUACUGUAUCGACACACGAACUGGAGAGAAAUUGUAUUAUUCGUGGAAUCACAAGACAUGAAAAGCUCCAGGAGGCGAAGGACUUCCUUUCAAUAAUAGAAAUAAUAAUUGAGGAAUCAGGUGGUCGACAGGGCCCAACUGGCCCAGAAAAGGACAGCCAGGGCCCACCGGGUGAAAAAUAUAAUUUUGCUAAUUACGUCAUCUCCUGAAGAAGAAGAAGAAGAAGAAGAAGAAGAAGAAGAAUUAGAAAGAGGAAAAUUCUAGAUUAAUAAUUAAUGGCUUUUUAAUUAAUUUAUUGGCAAAAUUAUAAUUUUUAUCCUGGGAAAUUGAACUUAUAAUUAAAAUUAAGACGUUGGACUACGAUUGGAGGUCUUGAUGAGGAAUAAAGCUCUUGAUGAUAA